rnacentral:rRNA from 1 species
AUUGAACGCUGGCGGCAGGCCUAACACAUGCAAGUCGAACGAGUGGCGGACGGGUGAGUAAUGUCUGGGAAACUGCCUGAUGGAGGGGGAUAACUACUGGAAACGGUAGCUAAUACCGCAUAACAUCAGAUGUGCCCAGAUGGGAUUAGCUUGUGGGUGGGGUAACGGCUCACCAAGGCGAAGAUCCCUAGCUGGUCCGAGAGGCUGACGAGCCACACUGGUACUGAGACACGGACCAGACUCCUACGUGAGGCAGCAGUGGGGAAUAUUGCACAAGGAGCGCAAGCCUGAUGCAGCCAUGGCGCGUGUAUGAAGAAGGCCUUCGGGUUGUAAAGUACUUUCAGCGGAGAAGCGUUACCCACAGAAGAAGCACCGGCUAACUCCGUGCCAGCAGCCGCGGUAAUAC